rnacentral:lncRNA from 1 species
CGACAUCUAUACCACUAAGAAAUCCACACAUUUCUCUGAUCCGCCUAAUUCUUGUUACACUUAACUUUGUUUCAUUAGAAACAAGAGCUGGAGCUUAAUCUGUCUCAACUUGUUUUUGAGAUGUCGUGGAUGCCUCAAUCCAUAGACAUUCCAACUUAGAAUUUUCAUUGCUCUCGAUCGGCCUGCUUAAUAGCGGUCAUCGAUAUUUCAGUAUAGAUUCCUGAAUCUAUCAAAUCCAUAUUAACAAAAAC